rnacentral:rRNA from 1 species
GACGAACGCUGGCGGCGUGCUUAACACAUGCAAGUCGAACGGAAAGGCCCUGCUUUUGUGGGGUGCUCGAGUGGCGAACGGGUGAGUAACACGUGAGUAACCUACCCGUGACUUUGGGAUAACUUCAGGAAACUGGGGCUAAUACCGGAUAGGAGCUCCUGCUGCAUGGUGGGGGUUGGAAAGGUUCGGCGGUUGGGGAUGGACUCGCGGCUUAUCAGCUUGUUGGUGGGGUAGUGGCUUACCAAGGCUUUGACGGGUAGCCGGCCUGAGAGGGUGACCGGGCACAUUGGGACUGGGGAACGGCCCAGAGUGCUACGGGCGGCAGCAGUGGGGAAUAUUCCACAAUGGGCGGAAGCAUGAUGCAGCAACGCCGCGUGCGGGAUGACGGCCUUCGGGUUGGAAACCGCUUUCGCCUGUGACGAAGCGUGAGUGACGGUAAUGGGUAAAGAAGCACCGGCUAACUACGUG